rnacentral:rRNA from 1 species
CCUACGGGGGGCAGCAGUGGGGAAUAUUGGACAAUGGGGGCAACCCUGAUCCAGCCAUGCCGCGUGUGUGAAGAAGGCCCUCGGGUUGUAAAGCACUUUCAGUGAGGAAGAACGCCUGGUGGUUAAUACCCAUCAGGAAAGACAUCACUCACAGAAGAAGCACCGGCUAACUCCGUGCCAGCAGCCGCGGUAAUACGGAGGGUGCGAGCGUUAAUCGGAAUUACUGGGCGUAAAGCGCGCGUAGGUGGCUUGAUAAGCCGGUUGUGAAAGCCCCGGGCUCAACCUGGGAACGGCAUCCGGAACUGUCAAGCUAGAGUGCAGGAGAGGAAGGUAGAAUUCCCGGUGUAGCGGUGAAAUGCGUAGAGAUCGGGAGGAAUACCAGUGGCGAAGGCGGCCUUCUGGACUGACACUGACACUGAGGUGCGAACGCGUGGGUAGCAAACAGGAUUAGAUACCCUAGUAGUC